GGGCCUGUAGCAUAACCUGGAUCAGUGCGAUCGGCUUCGGACCAACCUUUUCUUUCCCUCCUGCGGGUCGGCAAAGAAAAGCUUGACCAAAAGAAAGUGCUUCGCGGAAUGCGGAUUUGGCAUGCUGAUUGAGGAGAGACCGGUUGAUCAGGGUUCAAAUCCCUGCAGGCUCA
rnacentral:tRNA from 1 species